rnacentral:rRNA from 1 species
GAGUGAACGCUGGCGGUAGGCCUAACACAUGCAAGUCGAACGGCAGCACAGUAAUAGCUUGCUCUUACGGGUGGCGAGUGGCGGACGGGUGAGGAAUACAUCGGAAUCUACUUUUUCGUGGGGGAUAACGUAGGGAAACUUACGCUAAUACCGCAUACGACCUACGGGUGAAAGCAGGGGAUCUUCGGCCCUUGCGCGAUUGAAUGAGCCGAUGUCGGAUUAGCUAGUUGGCGGGGUAAAGGCCCACCAAGGCGACGAUCCGUAGCUGGUCUGAGAGGAUGAUCAGCCACACUGGAACUGAGACACGGUCCAGACUCCUACGGGAGGCAGCAGUGGGGAAUAUUGGACAAUGGGCGCAAGCCUGAUCCAGCCAUACCGCGUGGGUGAAGAAGGCCUUCGGGUUGUAAAGCCCUUUUGUUGGGAAAGAAAAGCAGCAGGUUAAUACCCCGCUGUUCUGACGGUACCCAAAGAAUAAGCACCGGCUAACUUCGUG